ACUUCACUAGGAAAUAAACAUAGUUCACAUCUAAGGUCAGCAAUAAAUAAGAAACACAGUAAAUCAUCAGACUACAGCAGACAGAGGAGAAUUUGAAGAUCAGAAAAAGAAGACGCUAAAAACAAAGGAUUAGAAGAAAUCCUACAGCAAACAAGGGAGAUUCUUUGCUUCAGAUCUCAUGUGCAGAAAACACAAACACAAAUGUUAAUGCAUGUUGCAAAGUAAAAUUUAGAGCUCAUUUCAACCUAUAUUCUUCUUCUUCUACAGCAAUAAUCUGAAAUACGAAAGGCUGGUUAGGCCUAAUGACCUGUCAUUCAUAAUAGUAUACAGGUACUGAGGACCAAGGCAAAUGUAAAUGUCGCACUUGGUUUUGACAUUUGUGUUCAUUAUCCUUAAAUUAAUCAGUGAUGCAAACACAGAGGUCUGAGUACUUUGCAUCUCGUAUUAUUCUAAAGGAGACUAUAGGUAAAAAUGUAAGCUCUAACUUUUUUUUUCUGUUUGCAGUGUGUAUUCAUAUUCAUCUUGGCCUGCUUCCUAUUCUGUUCUGCUGUAGCUACACAAUAAAUUACAUAAGACUGUUAAUAAA